AAAGUCGUCACACACGGAACAAGUCGUCCUUCCUUUGGCUCACGGUAGCUUUCAAAGGGAGUCCUCUCUUCGUUAGCUCUGUUAUAGCGCAAAUCCAGUUUUCGCCUGGAGCAAGCCCUGUUUUUUUGAACUAAACUCGGAAGUCAUAAUUUUUCAUUGAAUCUAUUCUUGCACCACUUGACCUAACAGCUUCUCUUGCCUGCCGACCUCCCCUUCCCGCUUCUAAGGCAACUUCCUGCUGUGACCCAUCUGACGCAUCUAGUAUUUUCUUACUUAGCAUCUAGGCCUUAGCAACAGUAGCAACACUUUCC
rnacentral:lncRNA from 1 species